rnacentral:rRNA from 1 species
GAUACCUACGGGACGCAGCAGUGAGGAAUAUUGGUCAAUGGCCGAGAGGCUGAACCAGCCAAGUCGCGUGAGGGAAGAAUGUCCUAAGGAUUGUAAACCUCUUUUGUCGGGGAGCAAAAAGGCUCUGCGGAGUCGUAUUGAGAGUACCCGAAGAAAAAGCAUCGGCUAACUCCGUGCCAGCAGCCGCGGUAAUACGGAGGAUGCGAGCGUUAUCCGGAUUUAUUGGGUUUAAAGGGUGCGCAGGCGGUCUGUUAAGUCAGCGGUCAAAGCCCGGGGCUCAACCCCGGCCCGCCGUUGCAAAUGGG